ensembl:lncRNA
ACAGUAUAUAUUUUGAAAAUAUUUACAUGUCUAUAUUUACAUUCAUAUAAUUUUAUUCUAAAUAUAAAAAGAUUUUUUUCUGAAAUAUAUACUUGCAUGUGUGUGUAUUUAUAUAUACAUAAUAAAUAUACACAGUACACACAUACAUAUUAUGUAAACAAAAUAUUUUAUUUUGGAUGCGAUUAAUCGCUUGACAACACUUGUAUUUAUGAAUGGGUCAAAGACGAAAAAUGAUUUAAGCAUAAAACCAAUAAGUGUAAUACUGCUUUAAAUUGUUGUAGUUUUUCCCCAAAAAAUAAAAAGUUUUUGGUUUAAUUUAAUUGCAAUUUUGUUUUUGUUUUUCUGAGCAAAAAAUAGAUAUUAUACAUUUUUCCAUGAUUUACAGAAGAGACCCACUAAAAUGUCAUUGUGUAACAAUCUCUGUCAGGCAUAUUUACAACAAAAAACAAUUUAUGACAUAUUAAAAGACUAAUUCAUUUCACUCCAAAUGCUAAUUAGUUGUAAUUUUACAUUUGUAAAAUUUGCCACUAUCCUAGGUUUUGCCUAAUUGUCAGUAAGAAUUUUUUACUCAUUUAAAACACAAUCAAAUUUAAUACUCUCUCUUAUUCUUUUAUAUAUUUUAAUAUGUACACGUCAGAAUAAGCAGGUUGUUAGAAUUUUUAAAUUAAUAUUGUUACACUGAAUGACAAUCUAACAUUAUUUCAACCAAAUUUUACUUUUUUUUUUUUUUUUAAUCCUCCAAAAACUUAUUUGAAACCUUAAAAGUAGACACUUUACUUACAUUUAAUGUGCUUUCUAUAGACAUAAAAUCACUUUUGUAAAUUUCUUUUGAUGUGGACAUCCUAACGUCUUUGACCCGAAUAUAAAAAUGCAAAAAUACAUUGCAAGUACACUAACGUAAACUUUUUUUUUUGUUUUACCAUAAAAUCAUUUCAACCUGCCACAAAUGCUGUUGAUAGAGCUUAAUGUAAUGAACAAUUCUUGUAGCCAAAAUGUGUGCCUGGAUGGGACUGUAUACGGUUAUUGUGACGGUUUAUAUGUGACGGUUGAUAUAAUUCGAAAAAACCCUAUUGUUUUAUUCAAUGAUUCUUCAACUGGGUGUGGUGACAACAGUAUACCCUUUGUGUUCACUUUGGCAACAUUUUCUAAAAUCUGGACAAUUGUUUAAGGAAUUUGCUUGCAAAACAAUUUAAAUCUGUGAGGUUUGUUUUUGAAGUUACUGGCAUUAUUUUAAUAGCAUCUGUCUAGUCUGUAACAUUUCUAAUCAUAGUGUUUUGAUAUUCCUUUGUUUGAAUAUAGUGUUUUGUUGAACAAAAUUUAGUUUUAUCUUUAGGUGCAUUUUUGGUAGUAUUUAUUUUUAUGACUUUUCUGUGUUGUAUUAGAAUAGAAAGAUUAUCAUGUAGACGUUCUUCAGUUUACAAUUCAUAGUUGUCCUUGUUAUUUUUAACCGCAUUGUCCUUCUUACCUCAGUGUCUUUAAUAAACCAUUCCACCAAAAAAAAUCACAAA